UGGGGAAUAUUGGACAAUGGGCGAAAGCCUGAUCCAGCCAUGCCGCGUGUGUGAAGAAGGUCUUCGGAUUGUAAAGCACUUUAAGCUGGGAGGAAGGGCAUUAACCUAAUACGUUAGUGUUUUGACGUUACCGACAGAAUAAGCACCGGCUAACUCUGUGCCAGCAGCCGCGGUAAUACAGAGGGUGCAAGCGUUAAUCGGAAUUACUGGGCGUAAAGCGCGCGUAGGUGGUUUGUUAAGUUGGAUGUGAAAGCCCCGGGCUCAACCUGGGAACUGCAUCCAAAACUGGCAAGCUAGAGUACGGUAGAGGGUGGUGGAAUUUCCUGUGUAGCGGUGAAAUGCGUAGAUAUAGGGAGGAACACCAGUGACGAAGGCGACCACCUGGACUGAUACUGACACUGAGGUGCGAAAGCGUGGGGAGCAAACA
rnacentral:rRNA from 1 species